rnacentral:rRNA from 1 species
GACGAACGCUGGCGGCGUGCUUAACACAUGCAAGUCGAACGGAAAGGCCCUGCUUUUGUGGGGUGCUCGAGUGGGGAACGGGUGAGUAACACGUGAGUAACCUGCACUUGACUUUGGGAUAACUUCAGGAAACAGGGGAUAAAACUGGAUAGGAGCUCCUGCUGCAUGGUGGGGGUUGGAAAGUUUCGGCGGUUGGGGAUGGACUCGCGGCUUAUCAGCUUGUUGGUGGGGUAGUGGCUUACCAAGGCUUUGACGGGUAGCCGGCCUGAGAGGGUGACCGGCCACAUUGGGACUGAGAUACGGCCCAGACUCCUACGGGAGGCAGCAGUGGGGAAUAUUGCACAAUGGGCGGAAGCCUGAUGCAGCAACGCCGCGUGCGGGAUGACGGCCUUCUGGUUGUAAACCGCUUUCGCCUGUGACGAAGCGUGAGUGACGGUAAUGGGUAAAGAAGCACCGGCUAACUACGUG